rnacentral:rRNA from 1 species
AGAGUUUGAUCAUGGCUCAGAUUGAACGCUGGCGGCAUGCUUUACACAUGCAAGUCGAACGGGCUUGGGGGCUUGCUCCAAGUUAGUGGCGAACGGGUGAGUAAUACAUCGGAACGUACCGUGUAGUGGGGGGUAACGUAGCGAAAGUUACGCUAAUACCGCAUACAAUCUACGGAUGAAAGCAGGGGACCUUCGGGCCUUGUGCUAUACGAGCGGCCGAUGUCUGAUUAGCUAGUUGGUGAGGUAAAGGCUCACCAAGGCGACGAUCAGUAGCGGGUCUGAGAGGAUGAUCCGCCACACUGGGACUGAGACACGGCCCAGACUCCUACGGGAGGCAGCAGUGGGGAAUUUUGGACAAUGGGCGAAAGCCUGAUCCGGCCAUGCCGCGUGUCUGAAGAAGGCCUUCGGGUUGUAAAGGACUUUUGUCAGGGAGCAAAACUUACUGGUUAAUACCCGGUGAGGCUGAGAGUACCUGAAGAAUAAGCACCGGCUAACUACGUG